CCUACGGGAGGCAGCAGUAGGGAAUCUUCCACAAUGGGCGAAAGCCUGAUGGAGCAACGCCGCGUGGGUGAAGAAGGUCUUCGGAUCGUAAAACCCUGUUGUUAGAGAAGAAAGUGCGUGAGAGUAACUGUUCACGUUUCGACGGUAUCUAACCAGAAAGCCACGGCUAACUACGUGCCAGCAGCCGCGGUAAUACGUAGGUGGCAAGCGUUAUCCGGAUUUAUUGGGCGUAAAGGGAACGCAGGCGGUCUUUUAAGUCGGAUGUGAAAGCCUUCGGCUUAACCGGAGUAGUGCAUUGGAAACUGGGAGACUUGAGUGCAGAAGAGGAGAGUGGAACUCCAUGUGUAGCGGUGAAAUGCGUAGAUAUAUGGAAGAACACCAGUGGCGAAAGCGGCUCUCUGGGCUGUAACUGACGCUGAGGUUCGAAAGCGUGGGUAGCAAACAGGAUUAGAUACCCCAGUAGUC
rnacentral:rRNA from 1 species